rnacentral:rRNA from 1 species
AGGCAAUCGCUUGAAUACAUUAGCAUGGAAUAAUGAAUAGGACGUUCGAUCCUAUUUUGUUGGUUUCUUAGGAUUGACGGUAAUGGAUUAAUAGGGAUAGUUGGGGGCAUUAGUAUUCAAUUGUCAGAGGUGAAAUUCUUGGAUUUAUUGAAGACUAACUACUGCGAAAGCAUUUGCCAAGGAUGUUUUCAUUAAUCAAGAACGAAAGUUAGGGGAUCGAAGACGAUCAGAUACCGUCGUAGUCUUAACCAUAAACUAUGCCGACUAGGGAUCGGAUGAUGUUAAUUUUUAAUGACUCAUUCGGCGCCUUACG